AUUGCUUCUCGGCCAUUUGGCUAAGAUCAAAUGUAGUAUCUAGUAAGUUUAAUAUCUGAUACAUCCUCUAUCUGAGGACAAUAUAUUAAAUGAAUAUUUGGAGUAGGAGUCAGAAUAGGAGCUUGCUCCAUCCACUCCAUGUAUCAAUAUGGUAUUACAGUACCUCCAGGAAUGGUGCACCCCCC